GCCUGACUCUAGUCUGACGCUGUGAAGAGACAUCAGAGGUGCAGAAUAAACGGGAAGCCCUGCAGUUGUGCGACUCAGGCCAUGGUCCAGUUGCCAGUGAAAUACUACUGAUCAUUUUUUCCACUUAGGCAGUAAGGUGUGCGUGUGUGAGGUGAGCCCCAAAGCACUCUCACUUCUGAUGCCAAGUGCCUGGCAAGACCUGCUUCAGGGCCAGUGUCAGGUGGGGAGUUUGACGGGCGCAGUACAUCUGCCAAACCACAACACAGGUGGCCCAAGGCGAGCUCAGGGAGGACAGGAAACUCCUGCAGAGCAGAAGAUCAAGGCUUGAUCUUGAUUUUCAGUAUAAAUAUUAUCCAGGACCUCACACUCCUCCUCACUUUUUGGGUUUUAAGCAAGCAUCCAGGAGACAGUAGAUGAGGAACUCCAGGCAUAAGUCUCCACCUGAGGAACCUGGGUAUCUAGGAUGUUCUGCUCUGUCCCCCACAAGCCAGGAAAUUCAGGCUGUUCCUACAAGGACUGGUCACACUGGGGAAGAUGAGGCUGUCUGGGCAUCCCCACCACAUCUCUCUGUCUAGUGGCCCUGAGGAGAGGGCCCAGAGAGGU
rnacentral:ncRNA from 1 species